AAUAUUGAUACGCCCAGAGAUGUUUCCAAAGGACUGGACUGUUAUGCGCUUGGUUGCUAACAAUGUUAUUAUUACAACAGUUCUGUACCUCUCAGAUGCACUUCGUAAGAACUUCUUAAAUGAAAACUUUGAUUAUAAGAUCUGGGAUUCCUACUUUUACCUCGCAGUCAUUUUUAUAAACCAGUUGUGUCUGCAGUUGGAGAUGUUCACACCUUCCAAGAAGAAAAAGGUGUUAGAAAAGUAUGGUGACAUGCGGGUAACAAUGGGUUGUGAAAUUUUCAGCAUGUGGCAAAACCUAGGAGAGCACAAGCUUCAUUUUAUCCCUGCCCUGAUUGGCCCCUUCCUAGAAGUGACCUUGAUACCCCAGCCAGAUCUUCGGAAUGUCAUGAUUCCAAUUUUUCAUGAUAUGAUGGACUGGGAGCAGAGGCGGAGUGGCAACUUUAAACAGGUGGAAGCCAAGCUAAUUGACAAACUGGAUAGCCUGAUGUCAGAAGGCAAAGGUGACGAAACAUACCGCGAGCUCUUCAACAGUAUGUGAGUAAUAUGUUUAUCUCAAGUUGAUUCUAUUCUGGGGAUUUGGUGUCAGUACUGAGCCUCUCUGCACCACGGUAGCUGAGAGCUGCAAAGACAGCUUAGGUCUCACAGGAGUGCUUUGUCUUUGUGGAGUGUGAAAUAAAGGAUAAUUGCCUAACUC
rnacentral:sRNA from 1 species